CCCCAACCAAAGCGAAAAGGUCUUUUGGGUUCCAUCUGCACCAGAAUCCCCCCCAACCAAAGCGAAAAGGUCUUUUGGGUUCCAUCUACAUAAAAAGAAGAUGAUAAAGCUCUGAUUGGGCUUAUUUCAAAUUGGUGUGUUUGCGGUGCACAUUCACCCAAAAAUCGCAGAGUGACAUCUUUAUUAUCAGACCAAACCAAGCAUAGGUGUUUAGGUUCCAUCUCAAUAGAAAGAGGACAAAUAAGCUUGCAUUGUUCUUUCGGUGUUCAGUGCCCCACAAAUAGCAAAGUGUAAUAAAGCCAAACAGGUUGUUUUGGGUUGCAGCAACAUAGAAAGAAGAAUCUUGGAUUUUGCUUAUUUCGUGUUCGUUGGCACAUUGACCCAGAAAUCUCAAAGUGUGUGUAUUGAGACCAAAAUAACACAACACCGUCUUUUCGCUUCCAUACGCGUAGAAAGUGAACGAAUAAGCUUUGAUUGUGCUUAUUUCAAUUCGCAUGGUGUUUUUUGGGAGUGCACCAGAAUCACCCCCAACCAAAGUAAAAAGGUCUUUUGGGUUCCAGCUACAUAAAAAGAAGAAGAUAACGCUCUGAUUGGGCUUAUUUCAAAUUGGUGUGUUUGGGGUUAGAAUGCACUUUCACCCAAAAAUCGCAGAGUGACAUCUUUAUUAUCAGACCAAACCAAGCAUAGGUGUUUAGGUUCCAUCUCAAUAGAAAGAGGACAAAUAAGCUUGCAUUGUUCUUUCGGUGUUCAGUCCCCCACAAAUAGCAAAGUGUAAUAAGCCUAAACAAAGCCAAACAGGUUGUUUUGGAUUGCAGCAACAUAGAAAGAAGAAUCUUGGACUUGCUUAUUUCGUGUUCGUUGGUGUUAAUGCACAUUGACCCAGGAAUCUCAAAGUGUGUGUAUUGAGACCAAAAUAACACAACACCGUCUUUUCGCUUCCAUACGGCUAGAAAGUAGACGAAUAAGCUUUGAUUGUGCUUAUUUCUAUUCGCAUGGUGUUUUUUGGGUGUGCACCAGAAUCACCCCCAACCAAAGCAAAAGGUGUUUUGGCCUCCUACUACAUAAAAAGAAGAUAAUAAAGCUCUGAUUGGGCUUAUUUCAAAUUGGUGUUUUUGGGGUUAGAAUGCACAUUCACCCAAAAAUCGCAGAGCGACAUGGUUAUUAUCAGACCAAACCAAGCAUAGGUGUUUUGGUUCCAUCUCAAUAGAAAGAGGACGAAUAAGCUUGGAUUGUUCUUUCGGUGUUCAUUCACUCACAAAUAGCAAAGCGAAUUGUAAUAAGCCUAAACAAAGCUAAAUAGGUUCUUUUGGGUACCAGCUACAUAGAACGAAGAAUCUUGGAUAUUGCUUAUUUCAAGUCUGGUGUUAAUGCACAUUGACCCAGAAAUCUCAAGGUGUGUGUAAUGAGACCAAAAUAAAAUAACACUGUCUUUUCGCUUCCAUAUGCGUAGAAAGAAGACAAAUCAGCUUUGAUUGUGCUUAUUUCAAAUCGCGUGGUGUUUUUUAGGUGUGCACCAGAAUCACCCCCAACGAAAACAAAAAGGUCUUUUGGGUUCCAUCUACAUAAAAAGAAGAUAAAGCUCUGAUAGGGCUUAUUUCAAAUUGGUGUGUUUGGGGUUAGAAUGCACUUUCACCCAAAAAUCGCAGAGUGACAUCUUUAUUAUCAGACCAAACCAAGCAUAGGUGUUUUGGUUCCAUCUCAAUAGAAAGAGGACAAAUAAGCUUGGAUUGUUCUUUCGGUGUUCAUUCACUCACAAAUAGCAAAGCGAAUUGUAAUCAGCCUAAGCAAAGCUAAAUAGAUUCAUUUGGGUACCAGCUACAUAGAACGAAGAAUCUUUGAUUUCGCUUAUUUCAAGUCGUGUUCUUUGGUGUUAAUGCACAUUGACCCAGAAAUCUCAAAGUGUGUGUAAUGAGACCAAAAUAAAAUUACACUGUCUUUUCGUUUCCAUAUGCGUAGAAAGCAGACAAAUAAGCUUUGAUUGUGCUUAUUUCAAUUCGCAUGGGGUUUUAUGGGAGUGCACCAGAAUCACCCCCAACCAAAGUAAAAAGGUCUUUUGGGUUCCAGCUACAUAAAAAGAAGAAGAUAAAGCUCUGAUUGGGCUUAUUUCAAAUUGGUGUUUUUGGGGUUAGAAUGCACAAUCACCCAAAAAUCGCAGAGUGACAUGUUUAUUAUCAGCCCAAACCAAGCAUAGGUGUUUUGGUUCCAUCUCAAUAGAAAGAGGACGAAUAAGCAUGCAUUGUUCUUUCGGUGUUCAGUCCCCCACAAAUAGCAAAGUGUAAUAAGCCUAAACAAAGCCAAACAGGUUGUUUUGGGUUGCAGCAACAUAGAAAGAAGAAUCUUGGAUUUUGCUUAUUUCGUGUUCGUUGGCACAUUGACCCAGAAAUUUCUAAGUGUGUGUAUUGAGACCAAAAUAACACAACACCGUCUUUUCGCUUCCAUACGCGUAGAAAGUAGACGAAUAAGCUUUAUUUGUGCUUAUUUCUAUUCGCAUGGUGUUUUUUGGGUGUGCACCAGAAUCACCCCCAACCAAAGCAAAAGGUGUUUUGGCUUCCAACUACAUCAAAAGAAGAUGAUAAAGCUCUGAUUGGGCUUAUUUCAAAUUGGUGGUUUUGGGGUUAGAAUGCACAUUCACCCAAAAAUCGCAGAGCGACAUGGUUAUUAUCAGACCAAACCAAGCAUAGGUGUUAUGGUUCCAUCUCAAUAGAAAGAGGACAAAUAAGCUUGGAUUGUUCUUUCGGUGUUCAUUCACUCACAAAUAGCAAAGCGAAUUGUAAUAAUCCUAAAAAAAGCCAAACAGGUUCUUUUGGGUACCAGCUACAUAGAACGAAGAAUCUUUGAUUUCGCUUAUUUCAAGUCGUGUUCUUUGGUGUUAAUGCACAUUGACCCAGAAAUCUCAAAGUGUGUGUAAUGAGACCAAAAUAAAAUAACACUGUCUUUUCGCUUCCAUAUGCGUAGAAAGAAGACAAAUAAGCUUUGAUUGUGCUUAUUUCAAUUCGCAUGGGGUUUUAUGGGUGUGCACCAGAAUCACCCCCAACCAAAGCAGAAAGUUCUGUUGGGUUUCAUCUACAUAAAAAGAAGAUGAUAAAGCUCUGAUUGGGCUUAUUUCAAAUUUGUGUUUUUGGGGUUAGAAUGCCAAUCACCCAAAAAUCGCAGAGUGACAUGUUUAUUAUCAGCCCAAACCAAGCAUAGGUGUUUUGGUUCCAUCUCAAUAGAAAGAGGACGAAUAAGCAUGCAUUGUUCUUUCGGUGUUCUGUCCCCCACAAAUAGCAAAGCGAAGACUAAUAAGCCUGAACAAAGCCAAACAGAUUGUUUUGGGUUGCAGCAACAAAGAAAGAUGAAUCUUCGAUUUUGCUUAUUUCGUGUUCUUUGGUGUUAAUGCACAUUGACCCAGAAAUCGCAAAGUGUGUGUAAUGAGACCAAAAUAAAAUCACACUGUCUUUUCGCUUCCAUAUGCGUAGAAAGAAGACAAAUAAGCUUUGAUUGUGCUUAUUUCAAUUCGCAUGGGAUUUUAUGGGAGUGCACCAGAAUCACCCCCAACCAAAGUAAAAAGGCCUUUUGGGUUCCAGCUACAUAAAAAGAAGAAGAUAAAGCUCUGAUUGGGCUUAUUUCAAAUUGGUUUUUGGGGUUAGAAUGCCAAUCACCCAAAAAUCGCAGAGUGACAUGUUUAUUAUCAGCCCAAACCAAGCAUAGGUGUUUUGGUUCCAUCUCAAUAGAAAGAGGACGAAUAAGCAUGCAUUGUUCUUUCGGUGUUCUGUCCCCCACAAAUAGCAAAGCGAAGACUAAUAAGCCUGAACAAAGCCAAACAGAUUGUUUUGGGUUGCAGCAACAAAGAAAGAUGAAUCUUGGAUUUUGCUUAUUUCGUGUUCUUUGGUGUUAAUGCACAUUGACCCAGAAAUCGCAAAGUGUGUGUAAUGAGACCAAAAUAACAGCACAUUGUCUUUUCGCUUCCAUAUGCCUAGAAAGCAGACAAAUAACCUUUGAUUGUGCUUAUUUCAAUUCGCAUGGGGUUUUAUGGGUGUUCAUCAGAAUCACCCCCAACCAAAGCAAAAAGGUCUUUUGGGUGCCAUCUACAUAAAAAGAAGAUAAAGCUCUGAUUGGGCUUAUUUCAAAUUGGUGUGUUUGGGGUUAGAAUGCACAUUCACCCAAAAAUCGCAGUGAUAUCUUUAUUAUCAGACCAAACCAAGCAUAGGUGUUUUGGUUCCAUCUCAAUAGAAAGAGGACGAAUAACCUUGCAUUGUUCUUUCGGUGUUCUGUCCCCACAAAUAGCAAAGCCUGAACAAAGCCAAACAGGUUGUAUUGGGUUGCAGCAACAUAGAACGAAGAAUCUUUGAUUUCGCUUAUUUCAAGUCGUGUUCUUUGGUGUUAAUGCACAUUGACCCAGAAAUCUCAAAGUGUGUGUAAUGAGACCAAAAUAACACAACAUUGUCUUUUCGCUUCCAUACGCGUAGAAAGAAGACAAAUAAGCUUUGAUUGUGCUUAUUUCAAUUCGCAUGGGGUUUUAUGGGUGUGCACCAGAAUCACCCCCAACCAAAGCAAAAAGAUCUUUUGGGUUCCAUCUGCACCAGAAUCACCCCCAACCUGAGCGAAAAGGUCUUUUGGGUUCCAGCUACAUAAAAAGAAGAAGAUAAAGCUCUGAUUGGGCUUAUUUCAAAUUGGUGUGUUUGGCGUUAGAAUGCACUUUCACCCAAAAAUCGCAGAGUGACAUCUUUAUUAUCAGACCAAACCAAGCAUAGGUGUUUAGGUUCCAUCUCAAUAGAAAGAGGACAAAUAAGCUUGCAUUGUUCUUUCGGUGUUCAGUCCCCCACAAAUAGCAAAGUGUAAUAAGCCUAAACAAAGCCAAACAGGUUGUUUUGGAUUGCAGCAACAUAGAAAGAAGAAUCUUGGAUUUCGCUUAUUUCGUGUUCGUUGGUGUUAAUGCACAUUGACCCAGAAAUCUCAAAGUGUGUGUAUUGAGACCAAAAUAACACAACACCGUCUUUUCGCUUCCAUACGCGUAGAAAGUAGACGAAUAAGCUUUAUUUGUGCUUAUUUCUAUUCGCAUAGUGUUUUUUGGGUGUGCACCAGAAUCACCCCCAACCAAAGCAAAAGGUGUUUUGGCUUCCAACUACAUCAAAAGAAGAUAAUAAAGCUCUGAUUGGGCUUAUUUCAAAUUGGUGGUUUUGGGGUUAGAAUGCACAUUCACCCAAAAAUCGCAGAGCGACAUGGUUAUCAUCAGACCAAACCAAGCAUAGGUGUCAGGGGUUCAGGAGCAGAGGCACAGGAAAGGGAGGAAAUAGAGAGCGAGGGGGAGGAGUCCGAAGGAAAUGUUAGCGAUGACAGCGGUCCGAGGUCUCUGAGUCUUUCCAGCGAAUCGGAAGAUUCACAGAAAGGGGCUCCCUUGGUCAGAGCAAGGGGGUGCCGAGGGGACACCCCAGGAAGAAGGGGCCAGAGGGGACUCAGAGAGCAGCAGUUGGAAAUCAGGACCAGCGUCCACACCAGAGUGCAGUAGGGGUGAGGAGUCCCAGGCAUCGGGAUCAGGCGGCGCACUGCCAGUGGGAGGACAUGAGUCAGGAUUGGCCACGCCUCCAUCGGGGAGCGAGGAAACGGUCGAGAGGAAGGUUGAAGGCUGGGCGCGCGCGCCCAGUUCAACGGUCCAGGAGGGAGGCGCAGUUGGCAGCCCGGAUAGGGAGCCAGGUCCCAAAGCCCGCCGAAAGAGGGGGAGGAGUCAGGGGGGUCAGCGUCAGAAGAAUCCAGGAAGGAAGGGACCCCGGGGGGUAGCAGGACCCAGAGGAGAAAGGAGAGACGUAAGAGGUGGAGUAAGGCUAGAAUCUUAAACUGGUGUACAGGGGCGGAGACUCAGAUGGAGCUUCGCCGAUCUAACCCCUAGACGUAGAGCUGGGGCGCUCCGGCUUGAAAAUGGAAACUGUACUUCAAUAAAGACUUUUGUACAUUACUGCCGGCUAGCGUUGGUCCUCUGUGAGCUGGGACCUGGAGCCAGCUCUGACAAUAGGUGUUUUGGUUCCAUCUCAAUAGAAAGAGGACGAAUAAGCUUGGAUUGUUCUUUCGGUGUUCAUUCACUCACAAAUAGCAAAGCGAAUUGUAAUAAUCCUAAACAAAGCCAAACAGGUUCUUUUGGGUACCAGCUACAUAGAACGAAGAAUCUUUGAUUUCGCUUAUUUCAACUCGUGUUCUUUGGUGUUAAUGCACAUUGACCCAGAAAUCUCAAAGUGUGUGUAAUGAGACCAAAAUAAAAUAACACUGUCCUUUCGCUUGCAUAUGCGUAGAAAGAAGACAAAUAAGCUUUGAUUGUGCUUAUUUCAAUUCGCAUGGGGUUUUAUGGGAGUGCACCAGAAUCACCCCCAACCAAAGUAAAAAGGCCUUUUGGGUUCCAGCUACAUAAAAAGAAGAAGAUAAAGCUCUGAUUGGGCUUAUUUCAAAUUGGUGUUUUUGGGGUUAGAAUGCCAAUCACCCAAAAAUCGCAGAGUGACAUGUUUAUUAUCAGCCCAAACCAAGCAUAGGUGUUUUGGUUCCAUCUCAAUAGAAAGAGGACGAAUAAGCAUGCAUUGUUCUUUCGGUGUUCUGUCCCCCACAAAUAGCAAAGCGAAGACUAAUAAGCCUGAACAAAGCCAAACAGAUUGUUUUGGGUUGCAGCAACAAAGAAAGAUGAAUCUUGGAUUUUGCUUAUUUCGUCUUCUUUGGUGUUAAUGCACAUUGACCCAGAAAUCGCAAAGUGUGUGUAAUGAGACCAAAAUAACAGCACAUUGUCUUUUCGCUUCCCUAUGCCUAGAAAGAAGACAAAUAACCUUUGAUUGUGCUUAUUUCAAUUCGCAUGGGGUUUUAUGGGUGUACACCAGAAUCACCCCCAACUAAAACAAAAAGGUCUUUUGGGUUCCAUCUACAUAAAAAGAAGAUGAUAAAGCUCUGAUUGGGCUUAUUUCAAAUUGGUGUGUUUGGGGUUAGAAUGCACAUUCACCCAAAAAUCGCAGAGUGACAUCAUUAUUAUCAGACCAAACCAAGCAUAGGUGUUUUGGUUCCAUCGCAAUAGAAAGAGGACGAAUAAGCAUGCAUUGUUCUUUCGGUGUUCUGUCCCCCACAAAUAGCAAAGCGAAGACUAAUAAGCCUGAACAAAGCCAAACAGAUUGUUUUGGGUUGCAGCAACAAAGAAAGAUGAAUCUUGGAUUUUGCUUAUUUCGUCUUCUUUGGUGUUAAUGCACAUUGACCCAGAAAUCGCAAAGUGUGUGUAAUGAGACCAAAAUAAAAUUACACUGUCUUUUCGCUUCCAUAUGCGUAGAAAGAAGACAAAUAAGCUUUGAUUGUGCUUAUUUCAAUUCGCAUGGGGUUUUAUCGGAGUGCACCAGAAUCACCCCCAACCAAAGUAAAAAGGCCUUUUGGGUUCCAGCUACAUAAAAAGAAGAAGAUAAAGCUCUGAUUGGGCUUAUUUCAAAUCGGUGUUUUUGGGGUUAGAAUGCCAAUCACCCAAAAAUCGCAGAGUGACAUGUUUAUUAUCAGCCCAAACCAAGCAUAGGUGUUUUGGUUCCAUCUCAAUAGAAAGAGGACGAAUAAGCAUGCAUUGUUCUUUCGGUGUUCUGUCCCCCACAAAUAGCAAAGCGAAGACUAAUAAGCCUGAACAAAGCCAAACAGAUUGUUUUGGGUUGCAGCAACAAAGAAAGAUGAAUCUUGGAUUUUGCUUAUUUCGUGUUCUUUGGUGUUAAUGCACAUUGACCCAGAAAUCGCAAAGUGUGUGUAAUGAGACCAAAAUAACAGCACAUUGUCUUUUCGCUUCCAUAUGCCUAGAAAGCAGACAAAUAACCUUUGAUUGGGCUUAUUUCAAUUCGCAUGGGGUUUUAUGGGUGUUCAUCAGAAUCACCCCCAACCAAAGCAAAAAGGUCUUUUGGGUGCCAUCUACAUAAAAAGAAGAUAAAGCUCUGAUUGGGCUUAUUUCAAAUUGGUGUGUUUGGGGUUAGAAUGCACAUUCACCCAAAAAUCGCAGAGUGACAUCUUUAUUAUCAGACCAAACCAAGCAUAGGUGUUUAGGUUCCAUCUCAAUAGAAAGAGGACAAAUAAGCUUGCAUUGUUCUUUCGGUGUUCAGUCCCCCACAAAUAGCAAAGUGUAAUAAGCCUAAACAAAGCCAAACAGGUUGUUUUGGAUUGCAGCAACAUAGAAAGAAGAAUCUUGGAUUUCGCUUAUUUCGUGUUCGUUGGUGUUAAUGCACAUUGACCCAGAAAUCUCAAAGUGUGUGUAUUGAGACCAAAAUAACACAACACCGUCUUUUCGCUUCCAUACGCGUAGAAAGUAGACGAAUACGCUUUAUUUGUGCUUAUUUCUAUUCGCAUGGUGUUUUUUGGGUGUGCACCAGAAUCACCCCCAACCAAAGCAAAAGGUGUUUUGGCUUCCAACUACAUCAAAAGAAGAUAAUAAAGCUCUGAUUGGGCUUAUUUCAAAUUGGUGUUUUUGGGGUUAGAAUGCACAUUCACCCAAAAAUCGCAGAGUGACAUGUUUAUUAUCAGACCAAACCAAGCAUAGGUGUUUUGGUUCCAUCUCAAUAGAAAGAGGACGAAUAAGCUUGCAUUGUUCUUUCGGUGUUCAGCCCCCACAAAUAGCAAAGGAAAGUGUAAUAAGCCUAAACAAAGCCAAACAGGUUGUUUUGGGUUGCAGCAACAUAGAAAGAAGAAUCUUGGAUUUUGCUUAUUUCGUGUUCUUUGGUGUUAAUGCACAUUGACCCAGAAAUCGCAAAGUGUGUGUAAUGAGACCAAAAUAAAAUUACACUGUCUUUUCGCUUCCAUAUGCGUAGAAAGAAGACAAAUAAGCUUUGAUUGUGCUUAUUUCAAUUCGCAUGG